rnacentral:rRNA from 1 species
ACUAAGCGUACACGGUGGAUGCCCUGGCAGUCAGAGGCGAUGAAGGACGUGCUAAUCUGCGAUAAGCGUCGGUAAGGUGAUAUGAACCGUUAUAACCGGCGAUUUCCGAAUGGGGAAACCCAGUGUGUUUCGACACACUAUCAUUAACUGAAUCCAUAGGUUAAUGAGGCGAACCGGGGGAACUGAAACAUCUAAGUACCCCGAGGAAAAGAAAUCAACCGAGAUUCCCCCAGUAGCGGCGAGCGAACGGGGAGGAGCCCAGAGCCUGAAUCAGUGUGUGUGUUAGUGGAAGCGUCUGGAAAGGCGCGCGAUACAGGGUGACAGCCCCGUACACAAAAAUGCACAUACUGUGAGCUCGAUGAGUAGGGCGGGACACGUGGUAUCCUGUCUGAAUAUGGGGGGACCAUCCUCCAAGGCUAAAUACUCCUGACUGACCGAUAGUGAACCAGUACCGUGAGGGAAAGGCGAAAAGAACCCCGGCGAGGGGAGUGAAAAAGAACCUGAAACCGUGUACGUACAAGCAGUGGGAGCCUCUUUUAUGGGGUGACUGCGUACCUUUUGUAUAAUGGGUCAGCGACUUAUAUUCUGUAGCAAGGUUAACCGAAUAGGGGAGCCGAAGGGAAACCGAGUCUUAACUGGGCGUUAAGUUGCAGGGUAUAGACCCGAAACCCGGUGAUCUAGCCAUGGGCAGGUUGAAGGUUGGGUAACACUAACUGGAGGACCGAACCGACUAAUGUUGAAAAAUUAGCGGAUGACUUGUGGCUGGGGGUGAAAGGCCAAUCAAACCGGGAGAUAGCUGGUUCUCCCCGAAAGCUAUUUAGGUAGCGCCUCGUGAAUUCAUCUCCGGGGGUAGAGCACUGUUUCGGCAAGGGGGUCAUCCCGACUUACCAACCCGAUGCAAACUGCGAAUACCGGAGAAUGUUAUCACGGGAGACACACGGCGGGUGCUAACGUCCGUCGUGAAGAGGGAAACAACCCAGACCGCCAGCUAAGGUCCCAAAGUCAUGGUUAAGUGGGAAACGAUGUGGGAAGGCCCAGACAGCCAGGAUGUUGGCUUAGAAGCAGCCAUCAUUUAAAGAAAGCGUAAUAGCUCACUGGUCGAGUCGGCCUGCGCGGAAGAUGUAACGGGGCUAAACCAUGCACCGAAGCUGCGGCAGCGACACUGUGUGUUGUUGGGUAGGGGAGCGUUCUGUAAGCCUGUGAAGGUGUACUGUGAGGUAUGCUGGAGGUAUCAGAAGUGCGAAUGCUGACAUAAGUAACGAUAAAGCGGGUGAAAAGCCCGCUCGCCGGAAGACCAAGGGUUCCUGUCCAACGUUAAUCGGGGCAGGGUGAGUCGACCCCUAAGGCGAGGCCGAAAGGCGUAGUCGAUGGGAAACAGGUUAAUAUUCCUGUACUUGGUGUUACUGCGAAGGGGGGACGGAGAAGGCUAUGUUGGCCGGGCGACGGUUGUCCCGGUUUAAGCGUGUAGGCUGGUUUUCCAGGCAAAUCCGGAAAAUCAAGGCUGAGGCGUGAUGACGAGGCACUACGGUGCUGAAGCAACAAAUGCCCUGCUUCCAGGAAAAGCCUCUAAGCAUCAGGUAACAUCAAAUCGUACCCCAAACCGACACAGGUGGUCAGGUAGAGAAUACCAAGGCGCUUGAGAGAACUCGGGUGAAGGAACUAGGCAAAAUGGUGCCGUAACUUCGGGAGAAGGCACGCUGAUAUGUAGGUGAAGUCCCUCGCGGAUGGAGCUGAAAUCAGUCGAAGAUACCAGCUGGCUGCAACUGUUUAUUAAAAACACAGCACUGUGCAAACACGAAAGUGGACGUAUACGGUGUGACGCCUGCCCGGUGCCGGAAGGUUAAUUGAUGGGGUCAGCGCAAGCGAAGCUCUUGAUCGAAGCCCCGGUAAACGGCGGCCGUAACUAUAACGGUCCUAAGGUAGCGAAAUUCCUUGUCGGGUAAGUUCCGACCUGCACGAAUGGCGUAAUGAUGGCCAGGCUGUCUCCACCCGAGACUCAGUGAAAUUGAACUCGCUGUGAAGAUGCAGUGUACCCGCGGCAAGACGGAAAGACCCCGUGAACCUUUACUAUAGCUUGACACUGAACAUUGAGCCUUGAUGUGUAGGAUAGGUGGGAGGCUUAGAAGUGUGGACGCCAGUCUGCAUGGAGCCGACCUUGAAAUACCACCCUUUAAUGUUUGAUGUUCUAACGUUGACCCGUGAUCCGGGUUGCGGACAGUGUCUGGUGGGUAGUUUGACUGGGGCGGUCUCCUCCUAAAGAGUAACGGAGGAGCACGAAGGUUGGCUAAUCCUGGUCGGACAUCAGGAGGUUAGUGCAAUGGCAUAAGCCAGCUUGACUGCGAGCGUGACGGCGCGAGCAGGUGCGAAAGCAGGUCAUAGUGAUCCGGUGGUUCUGAAUGGAAGGGCCAUCGCUCAACGGAUAAAAGGUACUCCGGGGAUAACAGGCUGAUACCGCCCAAGAGUUCAUAUCGACGGCGGUGUUUGGCACCUCGAUGUCGGCUCAUCACAUCCUGGGGCUGAAGUAGGUCCCAAGGGUAUGGCUGUUCGCCAUUUAAAGUGGUACGCGAGCUGGGUUUAGAACGUCGUGAGACAGUUCGGUCCCUAUCUGCCGUGGGCGCUGGAGAACUGAGGGGGGCUGCUCCUAGUACGAGAGGACCGGAGUGGACGCAUCACUGGUGUUCGGGUUGUCAUGCCAAUGGCACUGCCCGGUAGCUAAAUGCGGAAGAGAUAAGUGCUGAAAGCAUCUAAGCACGAAACUUGCCCCGAGAUGAGUUCUCCCUGACCCUUUAAGGGUCCUGAAGGAACGUUGAAGACGACGACGUUGAUAGGCCGGGUGUGUAAGCGCAGCGAUGCGUUGAGCUAACCGGUACUAAUGAACCGUGAGGCUUAACC